AUGAAUCAUCAUAACUUUUAAAUCUUUGAAAUUCAUGCAUCAUACACAGUCAACACCAUCCUUACAUACAUACAUUACAUCCAUCCCUACAUCCACUACGCCCAUGACCAACAUCAAGAGAAGGCAACCUGGCUUAUGCUAAAAAAAAAUGCAAUGGAUCGAUCGUAUCAAACCAGUACCAUUGCACCAUUACUCACUGCACAUUAACAAACUUGUCUCUUGGAAAAGAAACAAGUAAACAACCAUUUUAUUCGGCCACUCUCGGCUUUCUCUUUGGCGAGGCAUUUUAGUGAAGCUUGUUUGCAAGAUUGCAUUGCUUCCUGAUCUCACCCUUGCUACCAGUGAGAGGAUUGUUCUCAGAGAGGAGAGUAAUGGCCCUUGAGAACUCCUUGAAGAAAUAGUCUUGGCUCUUGGCCAUUUUCUUCACAUAAGGUCUGGUCCUUUUGUCGUAAGCCAGUUGGUGAUCCACAAUCAACAAACCCUUGUUGUCCAGUAUGUUCCUGUAGUAGUUGUUGUCCAAAACCAUGGGUGUCCCACGA
rnacentral:lncRNA from 1 species